CCCCUAGAUGUUCUGGGCCGCACGCGCGCUACACUGAACAGUUCAACAAGUCUUAACCUUGGCCGAUAGGUCUGGGUAAUCUUUGAACGCUGUUCGUGAUUGGGAUAGACCUUUGCAAUUAUCGGUCUUCAACGAGGAAUUCCUAGUAAACGCAAGUCAUCAGCUUGCAUUGAUUACGUCCCUGCCCUUUGUACACACCGCCCGUCGCACCUACCGAUUGAAUGGUCCGGUGAAAUCUCGGGACGGCGGCUUGGUCGCUUGCGUCCGACUGCUGAAACUUGAUUAAACCAUNUNAUUUAGNGGAAGGUGAANUCGUANCA
rnacentral:rRNA from 1 species